AUGCUGGCAUUAGUAACGAUAAAACAGGUGAAAAACCUGUUCGCCGAAAAUCCAAGGUUUCCUGGGGAAGGUUAAUCCGCCCAGGGUUAGUCGGUUCCUAAGGCGAGGCCGCGAGGCGUAGCUGAUGGAAAGCAGGCGAAAAUUCCUGCACCACUUGGUGGGCGACAAAGACACGGUGGGGUGACGCGGAAGGGUAAUCCUAAAGCCUGACGGAUGGCUUGCGAAACCUGUAGGUCGGGAGAUUGGCAAAUCCGUCUCCCAUUAAGACCGAGAGGAAUCGGAUAGAAGGACUACGGUCCAACGAACUGGAUGACCCCAUGCCGCCAAGAAAAACCUCGUUCCGUGAGUUCACAGAGUGACCGUACCGUAAACGGACACACGUAGAUGAGGCGAGAAGCCUAAGGCGCUCGGGAUAACUCUGGAGAAGGAACUAGGCAAAAUAGCCCCGUAACUUCGGGAGAAGGGGUACCCCCGCUACGUAAUGGGCUCGCGCCCAAAGCGGAAGGGGGUCGCAGUGACCAGGCUCAAGCGACUGUUUACCAAAAACACAGCACUCUGCCAAGUCGAAAGACGAUGUAUAGGGUGUGACGCCUGCCCGGUGCCGGAAGGUUAAAAGGCGGUGUUAGCUGGUUCUCGGAUCGGCAAAGCACCAAAUUGAAGCCCCGGUAAACGGCGGCCGUAACUAUAACGGUCCUAAGGUAGCGAAAUUCCUUGUCGGGUAAGUUCCGACCCGCACGAAUGGCGUAGCGAUUUGAGCGCUGUCUCCUCCAGAGGCCCGGUGAAGUUGAGCUACCAGUGAAGACGCUGGUUACCCGCAGCUGGACGGAAAGACCCCGGAACCUUUACUACAGCCUGAUAUUGGCGCCUGAUUUGUCAUGUAGAGGAUAGGCAGGAGGCUAUGAAGCAGGGACGCUAGUCUCUGUGGAGCCAACCUUGGAAUACUGCCCUUGUCAUGUUAAGCGUCUAACCUGCGACCGUGAAUCCGGUCGAGGGACAGUGUUUGGUGGGUAGUUUAACUGGGGCGGUUGCCUCCCAAAAUGUAACGGAGGCGCGCGAAGGUGCUCUCAGAACGGUUGGCAAUCGUUCGUAGAGUGUAUUGGCACAAGAGCGCUUGACUGCGAGACCGACGGGUCAAGCAGAUGCGAAAGCAGGCCAAAGUGAUCCGGCGAUUCUGUGUGGAAGGGUCGUCGCUCAUCGGAUAAAGGUACUCUGGGGAUAACAGGCUGAUCGCAUCCAAGAGUUCACAUCGACGAUGCGGUUUGGCACCUCGAUGUCGGCUCAUCGCAUCCUGGGGGUGUACAAGCUCCCAAGGGUUUGGCUGUUCGCCAAUUAAAGCGAUACGUGAGCUGGGUUCAGAACGUCGUGAGACAGUUCGGUCCCUAUCUACUGUGGGCGUAGGAGUUUUGAGGGGAGCUCUCCUUAGUACGAGAGGACCAGGAGGGACGGACCUCUAGUGUUCCGGUUGUGCCGCCAGGUGCAGCGCCGGGUAGCUAUGUUCGGAUCGGAUAACCGCUGAAGGCAUCUAAGCGGGAAGCCAACCCCAAGAUUAGAACUCCCUCCAUCGCAAGGUGGACUGAAGGCACCAGGAAGACUACCUGGUUGAUAGGCUGGAUGUGGAAGCGCAGUAAUGCGUGAAGCUGACCAGUACUAAUUUGCCGUGAGGCUUAACA
rnacentral:rRNA from 1 species